GCUCAUAUGGCGCAAUGGUAGCGCGUGGGAUUGCAAGUCUUGAGGUUGUCGGUUCGAUCCCGGCUGUGAGCU
rfam:Nadsonia fulvescens var. elongata DSM 6958 unplaced genomic scaffold NADFTscaffold_3, whole genome shotgun sequence.